rnacentral:misc_RNA from 1 species
GGUUGUGAUCCAAGAUCCGGCCGAAGAGGUGGAGAAGCUGGCGGAGAAGACGGAGAAUCUGUCAGUUACGGAGCCAGGAGACCCGAGCUUUGUCGGGAUGAAGAAGAAGAAGAAGAAGCCGAAGCCGGUGCAGAAUGACCUUCCUGCUGAAGAGGAGGGCGAUGCUGAAGAGGAUGUUGAAGGGGAAGCAUUUGGGGAGGAUGAGCAAGGAGAGGGGAUCGUGCUGGGAGGUCUCACCCGAUACCCGUGGGAAGGGACUGAUCGGGACUAUAAGUAUGAAGAGCUUCUGGAUAGGGUUUUCAAUAUCUUACGGGAGAACAAUCCAGAUCUUGCUGGAGAUAGGCGCAGGACAGUAAUGAGGCCCCCGCAAGUUCUCAGAGAAGGAACAAAGAAGACAGUCUUUGUGAACCUUAUGGAUCUCUGCAAGACGAUGCAUAGGCAACCGGAGCAUGUGAUAAUGUUUUUACUUGCUGAAAUGGGGACCAGUGGCUCUCUUGAUGGGCAGCAGAGGCUUGUUGUUAAGGGAAGAUUUGCUCCUAAGAAU